AUAUUUUGACUGUGCUAAGGUAGCAUAAUCAUUUGCUUUUUAAUUGAAGGCUGGUAUGAAUGAUUAAAUGUGAUGAAUUCUGUCUCUGUUUUUUUUUUUGAAAUUUAUUAUAUGGUAAGAAGGCCAUUAUUUUUCUGAGGGACGAUAAGACCCUAUUAAGCUUAAUUUUUGAAUUUUACUGGGGCGGUAAUUUAAGAAUGGAAUCUUAAUAUGCAAGUAGGAUAAAUAAUGACCCAAUAAUAUUGAGUAUUAGAUAAAGUUACUAUAGGGAUAACAGCUUAAUUUUUUUAAGGAGAUCUUAUCUUAAAAAGAGUUUGUGACCUCGAUGUUGAAUUAAAGUUUCUAUUUGGUGAAGUAGCUAAAUAAAAGACCUUG
rnacentral:rRNA from 1 species